AUUGAACGCUGGCGGCAGGCCUAACACAUGCAAGUCGAACGGUAACAGGAAGAAGCUUGCUUCUUUGCUGACGAGUGGCGGACGGGUGAGUAAUGUCUGGGAAACUGCCUGAUGGAGGGGGAUAACUACUGGAAACGGUAGCUAAUACCGCAUAACGUCGCAAGACCAAAGAGGGGGACCUUCGGGCCUCUUGCCAUCGGAUGUGCCCAGAUGGGAUUAGCUAGUAGGUGGGGUAACGGCUCACCUAGGCGACGAUCCCUAGCUGGUCUGAGAGGAUGACCAGCCACACUGGAACUGAGACACGGUCCAGACUCCUAAGGGAGGCAGCAGUGGGGAAUAUUGCACAAUGGGCGCAAGCCUGAUGCAGCCAGGCCGCGUGUAUGAAGAAGGCCUUCGGGUUGUAAAGUACUUUCAGCGGGGAGGAAGGGAGUAAAGUUAAUACCUUUGCUAAUUGACGUUACCCGCAGAAGAAGCACCGGCUAACUCCGUG
rnacentral:rRNA from 1 species